AGAACAUCCCUUUCUCCGGCCGGCCGCCCGCUCCUUCGCAGAGUCCCGGCACGCGCACUGACACUGACAGGCCUCCUCUUGUUUGAUGAUGAUCACAGGAACACUGAGGCCAAUCUGCUGAACAGAGCUCCCUGUGAGAGAGGCGAGAGAGACUGCUCUUCAAGUGGCCAGGAACAGGCAUGAGGGGCAGGGGAGUAAGGUGGUGACCCCUGACUAACCACUGGAGGCAGUACUGAGCACCAGGCGCAUGCACACAGCAUUGCUGCUUGCAUUCCAUACCCUCUCCACACAGCACAGGACCUGCUCUGACCCCAGCUCCUGAGGUCAUUGCACUUCUCUAUGUGGCUCAUGUUUGACGUGUGGGAGAUGUCGAGUGGACUGAUCUCCUCCCCAGCCAGCCUGGAAUGUGUGCCCGUUCGUAUCCAUUCGCAUUUCACCCCCACGUGUGUCACUUACACAUACGCUCUGUCCUCAGCCAGGUUCUGUGUAGACAGAGCUGAAGGCUACUAAGAGGACACAGGGUGGGAUGAGGUGGUCAGAG
rnacentral:lncRNA from 1 species